rnacentral:rRNA from 1 species
AUGAACGCUGGCGGCGUGCCUAAUACAUGCAAGUCGAGCGAACGGACGAGAAGCUUGCUUCUCUGCUGUUAGCGGCGGACGGGUGAGUAACACGUGGAUAACCUACCUAUAAGUCUGGGAUAACUUCGGGAAACCGGAGCUAAUACCGGAUAAUAUUUUGAACCGCAUGGUUCAAAAGUGAAAGACGGUCUUGCUGUCACUUAUAGAUGGAUCCGCGCUGCAUUAGCUAGUUGGUAAGGUAACGGCUUACCAAGGCAACGAUGCAUAGCCGACCUGAGAGGGUGAUCGGCCACACUGGAACUGAGACACGGUCCAGACUCCUACGGGAGGCAGCAGUAGGGAAUCUUCCGCAAUGGGCGAAAGCCUGACGGAGCAACGCCGCGUGAGUGAUGAAGGUCUUCGGAUCGUAAAACUCUGUUAUUAGGGAAGAACAUAUGUGUAAGUAACUGUGCACAUCUUGACGGUACCUAAUCAGAAAGCCACGGCUAACUACGUG